rnacentral:rRNA from 1 species
GACGAACCGUGCGAACGUUAUUCGGAAUCACUGGGCUUAAAGCGCGUGUAGGCGGGACGACACGUCCGACGUUGAAAUCCCCCGGCUCAACCGGGGAACGGGCGCGGAUACGAUCGUCCUGGAGGGGCGUAGGGGGACCUGGAACUUCCGGUGGAGCGGUGAAAUGCGUUGAGAUCGGAAGGAACGCCCGUGGCGAAAGCGAGGUCCUGGACGCCUACUGACGCUGAGACGCGAAAGCCAGGGGAGCGAACGGG